rnacentral:rRNA from 1 species
UUUCAAAGCUCCACGGUUACCGUGGCGCGUUGUAGACUGAAGGGGCGCUAUCUUUUUGCAUGGCCCGGGUAUAGAUCCGUUGGAACGCGGUAUCAUAGAGGGUGAGAAUCCCGUCCAUGACUCGGGGACAAUUCCAUGCAUGUACGUUGCGCUUCCAAAGAGUCGGGUUGUUUGGGAAUGCAGCCCAAAAUGGGUGGUAAACUUCAUCUAAGGCUAAAUAUUGGCACGAGACCGAUAGCGAACAAGUACCGUGAGGGAAAGAUGAAAAGCACUUUGAAAAGAGAGUCAAAAAGUACGUGAAACCGUUAAGUGGGAAACGAAUGGGGCUAGCAUUUGUAUCUUGGCCACAAUCAGUCGGACCAUUCGGGACCGGCGUGGCGUUGGGAGCCUUUCGUGUGCGCCGUCAAAAAGCGUAUUAGCGAGGGGCCUCAUGCUGCGACGUGAAUUCUCGGAUGAGCUCGGUGCACUUGUGGUCGGUAUCAGGCCAACAUCAGUUCGGUUGCCAAAGGCGGAGGUUUCGGCCUCCCGUCUUGUUGGACAGGAACCUUUAGGGGAAGGUGGUCACGCCAGGUUCUUCGUCUUCGGGCGAAAGCUUGACGUGACGUUAUAGCCCCUUUAGGGAACACCAAGGAGUCGCGGCCCGGACUGAGGAGAUAAAGCAGCACGCUUACUUUGCAGAGUUUCCGCUGGGACGCCGAGCGGUUCGGGACUGUGCCAAAAAAGUGCAGUGUCGGGCGCUUUUUGUGCGUUUCACUCAUACGAGCCACGGAAAUCUACGCGUUACUCGUGCUUGUGAUGUUGGCGAAAUGGCCUUAUCCGACCCGUCUUGAAACACGGACCAAGGAGUCUAACAUAUACGCGAGUCUUUGGGUAUGAAAGCCCGCGGGCGUAAUGAAAGUAAAGGUACACCUUGUCGUGUGCUUGAGGUGAGAAGUUUUUCCUCUUUUGGAAGGACCGCAUCAUCGACCGAUCCGGAUUGGGCAUUGGGGUUCGCCUCUUUGUUUUUAUGAAAGAUUUGAGUAAGAGCGUAUCUGUUAGGACCCGAAAGAUGGUGAACUAUGCCUGAACAGGGUGAAGUCUGAGGAAACUCAGAUGGAAGCUCGCAGCGAUUCUGACGUGCAAAUCGAUCGUCUGAUUUGGGUAUAGGGGCGAAAGACUAAUCGAACCAUCUAGUAGCUGGUUCCCUCCGAAGUUUCCCUCAGGAUAGCUGGAACUCGACAAGCAGUUUUAUCAGGUAAAGCGAAUGAUUAGAGGCCUUGGGGUCGAAAUGACCUCAACCUAUUCUCAAACUUUAAAUGGGUAAGAAGUUCGGCUUGCUUAAGUGAAGUCGGACAUUUUAUUGAAUGCAAGAGUUUCAAGUGGGCCAUUUUUGGUAAGCAGAACUGGCGAUGCGGGAUGAACCGAACGUGAAGUUAAAGUGCCAAAGUUCACGCUCACCUAGAACCCAGAAAAGGUGUUGGCUGAUGAAGACAGCAGGACGGUGGCCAUGGAAGUCGGAAUCCGCCAAGGAGUGUGUAACAACUCACCUGCCGAAUCAGCCAGCCCUGAAAAUGGAUGGCGCUCAAGCGUGACACUUAUACUUCGCCGUUGUCGCAAAAGAAACAUGACACAUAUUCUUGCGCCACAACGAGUAGGAGGGCGUGGAGGUAGUGAAGCAGCUUAAGGCGUGAGCCUGAGUGAAACUUCC